UUGAAGACCUCUGAGACAAAGGUUUAGAUCCAUUCCUCCCAAACUGUGUAGAUAUUGCUGUCACAUACACUGCCGUUCCAAAAAUUUGGGGUCACCCAGACAAUUUCAUGUUUUCCAUGAAAACUCACGGUUUUAUCCAUGUGCUAACAUAACUGCACAAGGGUUUUCUAAUCAUCAAUGAGCCUUUCAACACCAUUAGCUAACACAAUGUAGCAUUAGAACACAGGAGUGAUGGUUGCUGGAAAUGUUCCUCUGUACCCCUAUGGAGAUAUUCCAUUAAAAAUCAGUCAUUUCCAGCUAGAAUAGUCAUUUCAUUUUGAACAUUAACGAUGUCUAGACUGUAUUUCUGAUUCAUUUAAUAUUAUCUUCAUUGAAAAAUAAUGCAUUUCUUUCAGAUUUAAGGACAUUUCUAAGUGACCCCAAACUCUUGAACGGUAGUGUGCACCUUGUCAGGCUUCAUACGAGCUGCUGGUAAUGCUGAUGACAGUUUCUUUAAACAUCUAGGCUGUUCCUUUUACUUUCUCUUAAAGCAAGUUAACAGUAAUGUGUGAUCGUGAUGUUUCAGCACUGGCUCUACAGUCAAACUACACACUCCACAUGGUAUUUGUUUGCAGUCUGUCUCUCAUUCACAUGUCAUGAUGUGUCGGGAUAUUUGAAAGACUGGAUUAGUUUUAGUUUUUUACUGCUAUAUAAAGAAAAACACUUCCUCAGCCAACAGUCCCACAUGAGUAUUUGCUGCUGAAGGUGCAGAAACCUGCACAUGUGUAACAAUAUGCAGAGAGCAGCAUCGGCAGAGACUGCAGAGUCUAUUUUUGCAAAGCUUAAGCAGCGCCGUUAUUUUCAUAUGAAACACCCAGAGGAAGAUGAAUUUCAAAUGUACAUUUUCAGAACUUGUUAAAUAUGAGACAGCUGGUGAAACACAACUCCACAGAUGUUUAUAAUGAGCACUCUAUUUUGCAAUCAGAUCUAUUUUGGUGACAGGAACAGAGCGUAUAGGUAUUUGCAUGUAUUUUAUGCCUGCUGUGUCCCAUGUGUUGCACAGUUCAAGUUAGAGACUUCAGAACCAUGUUUUAGUAUGACAAUCUUUUACAGGAACUUUGGAAUCACUGCAUAAUAUCUAUUUGUAAAUAAAGAAUGU
ensembl:lncRNA